UUUUGAUUUUUCAAAACAGAAUUCUGUAUUUUCCGUUUCUUUCGAGUUGCGUGACAGUUUAUUUUGCAUUAUUAUAAUUCUUUAGUAUAUUUCAAAGAUUUUAAUAUGGCAUCUACAGCAUAUUCUACUCCAGAGAGUCGUUGUGUAAAUUGUGUUGUACGAUUUCAACAUGUGCAAAAAUGUGUCUGAGAUAGCUGGAGACUUACGCCAACUGACCCAUGCAUGGAUUUUUCGUGAGUUAAACCUACUAGACUCAGUGUGUGGAAAAUGCUUAUUGAUAUUACAAGAUAGUAUUUAAACUGGUCAAUCAACAAGGAGAUUUGGGUACAGGAAUAUUUGUAUUCCAUGUGGGGCUUCAAUAUUAAGAGCAUAUCAAACUCAUACUGUACCUAUAGACUCUGCAGAAAGGAGUAGUAUUUUGCAGUGGAUACCCUCACACCAGAUGGAAUAUUUACAGCAAGUCUUGCUGGCUGAAAACAACCAGAGUGGUGCAUCGGCUCAGGCAACAUGAUAGUAACAGAGACAUAGAAGUUCAAACAAUGAGUGCUGAAGUUGUCAAUACUACUAUCUCAUAUCCACCACCUAUGCCUGAACUUGUUAUGCCUAUGCCUAUUUCCAGAGUAGCACCAACAAUUAAUGUCUAAUUACAAGCAUGCUGCUUCAACUUCCCAUCACUGUAUUUUAAGAUUAUGUGAAAAUGUUUCUCGACUCUUAGUACCUGUAAUACUAAAAAAAAGAUUGAAUACUCAUUUUAUGUGCCCGGUUGUGAAUAAAAAAAUAUAAAGAUAAUUCUC